CUGAUCAACAAGAACAAUCAAAGGACCGCAAAACUUAUUUGUUUUAAAUGAUAGACAAGGAGAAUGAUGAUUCAUAAGAUGAACUUGCAUGAAGUGGAGAAUUCUUGAUUUCUUCAGUGUUUAAGAAGGCAUAAGAGCUGACAAUUGAGGAGCUACUUGACAUGCUGUAAUCUCAUCUUUGAAAAUGGACCUCAUGGAUUCAAGCCUGUAGGGACUAGAAAACAUUUUUGGAGAAUUUUCCUGUUCUCUCUGCUAUGUUCUCCAGAGGAUGGAAACGGUAGAAGAGAUGACAACAAAUGUCACACACUUAAAUACAUAUAACAUGCAGUCGAUUUCCAAAGAACUCCUUGUUCUCACUGGCAGAGGG
rnacentral:lncRNA from 1 species